rnacentral:misc_RNA from 1 species
CGGCAACGGAUAUCUCGGCUCUCGCAUCGAUGAAGAACGUAGCGAAAUGCGAUACCUGGUGUGAAUUGCAGAAUCCCGCGAACCAUCGAGUCUUUGAACGCAAGUUGCGCCCGAGGCCACUCGGCCGAGGGCACGCCUGCCUGGGCGUCACGCCAAAACACGCUCCCAACCACCCUCAACGGGAUUCGGGAUGCGGCAUCUGGUCCCUCGUCUCUCAAGGGACGGUGGACCGAAGAUUGGGCUGCCGGCGUACCGCGCCGGACACAGCGCAUGGUGGGCGUCCUCGCUUUAUCAAUGCAGUGCAUCCGGCGCGCAGCUGGCAUUAUGGCCUUUGAACGACCCAACAAACGAAGCGCACGUCGCUUCGACCGCGACCCCAGGUCAGGCGGGACUACCCGCUGAGUUUAAGC